CAGGAGGGGAGGUUAGGAAAUUGAGCCUCCGCCUCUACGGGCUUAGGAGACCCGAGCCCAGUUGGGGAACCCCCCCCAUCUUACCGAGCACCCGGGAUAGAUCUGCCGGGCUCAGAGUUUCACCUCUGCCCCUUAGACUAAGCAACUUAAGAAAGCAGCUUCACCGCCCCCCCCACCCCGCUAGUGGUGCCUCUGUUUCUCUAUCUGGAAAAUGGGGAUUAGAGACCUGGUAAAGAAAGGAGCCGCGGUGACCGGAAAAGAGGGCAGGGCUGGAUGGCUGGAUCUGAAGGAGGGGCCCUGCGCUGGGGGCUCUGCGCGGUGGGGAGGGGUCUGGGAGAUGGCGCGUCUGCCAGGCCCCGCGGUGGGGGGCGGGGGCAAACCGUGCUGGCAAAGGCGUUGGGGUGGGAAAGUGCGUCCUGGAUCCCUGGGAGAGCACAUCGCUAACUCCUGAAGACCCUUACCCUCGAUGGUCACCUCCUCUUGGGAACCUGACUACCCACGCCGUCCAGCAGGAGAGACAAGGUUAUCUUCUUGAGAAAUCAUGUCACUCCCUCUGCACACAUCAUUGCUUUUAAUCAGCCCCACUGUGUGCUGAACCCUGAGGGCGCACCAGGAACCAAUUCAGUCACAGACCCAGCAAGCAGCGCAAGGAUAUCAGAGCUGAGACAACACUGGGCCCAGAUGAGGUGCCUGAGCCAGCCUGGUGGGGGUCCAGAGGGCUUCCUGGAGGAGGAGGCAGCUGAGCUGAGACCUGAUGGAUGAGUGAGGGUGCACCUGGCACACCAGGGAGGAAGCCCAGGCAGCCAGUGGAGGAGGAACUGCCUGACAGGAGAGCAAACCUGCUCUCUCCUUCCUGGUCUAGCCAACACCUGAUGGGUCACAAGAACCGCCCAGCUAAACGCACCCACGGGGUCAUGAGAGAUAAUAAACAGAUAUUGUUCUACGUUUUUUUGUUUUUUUGUUUUUCCUUCUUUUUUCUGUGCCUUCGGCAUGCAGAAGUUCCCAGGCCAGGGAUGGAACCAGUGUCAUGGUAGGGACAAACAAUUCGGAAUCCUUAACCGCUAGGCCACCAGGGAAUUCCCCAUGGUCACUUUUUAAUAUCUCUGAGCAUGGGCUGAAUUUACGUUUUUUUACAGUCAACCCCAAGGCAGUGUGGGAAAACUUCUAUUGAUGCUC